ACGGGGUGCAGCAGGCGCGAAAACUUUGCAAUGUGCGAAAGCACGACAAGGUUAAUCCGAGUGAUUUGUGCUAAACGAAUCUUUUGUUAGUCCUAGAAACACUAACGAAUAAGAGGUGGGCAAGUUCUGGUGUCAGCCGCCGCGGUAAAACCAGCACCUCAAGUGGUCAGGAUGAUUAUUGGGCCUAAAGCAUCCGUAGCCGGCUCUGUAAGUUUUCGGUUAAAUCUGUACGCUCAACGUACAGGCUGCCGGGAAUACUGCAGAGCUAGGGAGUGGGAGAGGUAGACGGUACUCGGGAGGAAGGGGUAAAAUCCUUUGAUCUUUCGAUGACCACCUGUGGCGAAGGCGGUCUACCAGAACACGUCCGACGGUGAGGGAUGAAAGCUGGGGGAGCAAACCGGAUUAGAUACCCGGGUAGUCCCAGCUGUAAACUAUGCAAACUCAGUGAUGCAUUGACUUGUGGUCAAUGCAGUGCUGCAGGGAAGCCGUUAAGUUUGCCGCCUGGAAGUACGUACG
rnacentral:rRNA from 1 species